rnacentral:misc_RNA from 1 species
AGAGAGAGAGAGAGAGAGAGAGAGAGAGAGAGAGAGAGAGAGACAGGGGCAUGGAGAAUCCCAAUGCCCAGUCCAUCAGACAUCACAGCCUACUCUUCACACCCUCUUGUCACCAAUUAUGCUACUAAACUAAUCUAAUCUCUUCUUCCCUCUCUUACUCCCCUUCACAAACAGCCUCAUGCCUCUUCCGCUGAUCCACUCCCAUCAAACUUUCCUCUUCUCCUUCUUCUACUUCUUCUUCUUCCACAAAACAACCGAACCCUUCUUAUGAUCUGAAAUUCCAGCACCCAAUCAACAACCAUUGCCCCUUCUCCUUCCACAAAACAACCAAACACUUCUCAUGAUCUGAAANNUGAUCUGAAAUUCCAACGUCCAAUCAACAACCAUUGCCUCUUUUAUGGUCAUCAGCAAAAAACCCAGAUCACAGAAUCACUAUCCAAACCCAAAUUUCAUGAGAGAAGAUCGCACAGAAAUGUCUGAAGACGACGACCGAUCUUCGCCUUCUGAUUCUGUUAACACCAUUGAUUCUUGCUCCAAUAAGACUACUUCCGGUUCUACUUCUGGGUCUGGACCCAGUUCCAUACCUGAAUACCAAGCUCCAUACCCUGACCAGGUCCUGGAAAAUGUUCUUGAGAACGUUCUCUGCUUCUUGACCUCUCGCCGCGACAGAAACGCUGCGUCAUUAGUCUGCAGGUCGUGGUACCGUGUUGAGGCGCUCACUCGAUCCGACCUCUUCAUCGGGAACUGCUAUGCCGUCUCUCCGCGACGCGCCACGUCUCGUUUCACCCGAAUCCGAUCCGUGACGUUGAAGGGGAAGCCCCGCUUCGCCGAUUUCAACCUCAUGCCGCCCAAUUGGGGGGCCCACUUCGCGCCCUGGGUUUCUGCCAUGGCUAAGGCGUACCCGUGGCUCGAGAAGGUUCACCUGAAGCGCAUGACUGUGACGGACGAAGAUCUCGCGGUUCUGGCGGAGUCCUUUUUCGGGUUUAAGGAGCUCGUGCUUGUGUGUU